rnacentral:rRNA from 1 species
GUCUUUUUGAGUUACAUUAAAAGUCAAGCCUGCCCAAUGUUAAUAUAAAUGGCCGCGGUAUUUUGACCGUGCUAAGGUAGCAUAAUAAAUAGUCCAUUAAUUAUGGUCUGGAAUGAAAGGCUUAACAAAGAAUAACUUUUUUAAUCUUAAAUUUGAAUUUUAAUUAUUAGUAAAAAUGCUAAUGUARAAAAGAGGGACGAGAAGACCCUAUAGAGCUUUAUACAAAAAUUUAAUUUUUAGUACACCAUGAAUUAUUGUAUUUUGUUGGGGCGACAGUAAAUUAUAAACAUUUAGUGUAUUAUCUAGUAUAUUAGGAUAAAUGAUCCAUUAAUAAUGAUAUAAGAACAAGCUACCUUAGGGAUAACAGCGUAAUUUUAUUUUAGAGUCCCUAUCGACAAUAAAGAUUGCGAC